rnacentral:miRNA from 1 species
CUUGUCCUCUGUCGUCCCCUUCUUCUUGUGCCCUCCACCUGAUGUUGGGAAAGAUGGAGGGCACAAGAAGAAGGGGACGGCAGUGGACAAG